rnacentral:rRNA from 1 species
CCUACGGGAGGCAGCAGUGAGGAAUAUUGGUCAAUGGGCGAGAGCCUGAACCAGCCAAGUCGCGUGAGGGAAGACGGUCCUAUGGAUUGUAAACCUCUUUUGCCGGGGAGCAAAAAGCGGUACGUGUACCGCAUCGAGAGUACCCGGAGAAAAAGCAUCGGCUAACUCCGCGCCAGCAGCCGCGGUAAUACGGAGGAUGCGAGCGUUAUCCGGAUUUAUUGGGUUUAAAGGGUGCGCAGGCGGACCUUCAAGUCAGCGGUAACAUCGUGGGGCCCAACCCCCUCCCGCCGUUGAAACUGUC